GGGCAAAACUGUGUUUGGUUCCUGUGKGCAAACAUCAGGGUUUGCUAGAUGUUAGGGCACCUGAGGACAAGAACCAGGAAACAAACUCCACUCAUGGUAGCUCUGGAGGAAACAGCUGGAAAGGGAACUGCACAGGACCAUGCAGAGCAUCCUCUGGCACUGACACAGCCGUCCUUUACUGUGUCAUGUUCACUUGUUUGGGGCCUGGMGUCUGGGCUUCAUGGACUGAAGCUGACAGCCUGGAACGUAGAGCCUUGAUGUUACAUUCGCUGUACAAGUGGAAUGGAGCCUGUGAAAGUCCUCGGGCUCAUGCAAUUUUUCAUCCAAGAGGGAUAAGGCAGUAAAAGUAAUGAUCAUCUCCACUUUAUACACAGGGAAGCAGAUGGCUGAGGGAGAGAAACGACUUCUUUUACGCCACCGCCACCGCAGGGAGUGCAGCCCCAUUUCCCAAACUGAAUUAGCAGGUGGAUGCACUCGCCGUGCCUGCGGGGCUGUGGCUUUUGGACACCCUCCUGCUGUCCUCUAGUGGGUGGAUGGGGAAGACCUCGGGCAUGCUGCAAUGUCCCGUCCCUGCUGGGAGCAUUGGGCAAGAGUCACAGCUGAACGUGGUCAGUGUCAGGCCAGCAAGGCUCCAAGCGUCCACACAGUCACGGCAGUGAGGACCGUGACGGCUUAGGGGUCAGUGAAAGCGUCUCUCCAGUCCUCUUUCUACCAUUUGUGCAGACUGCGUAUCUAAAUCACAGAAGAGGCCACUGUGUGUGGGGCAAGAUGACUUCCCUGUGGAGGAGCAGCCAAGACCAAAGUGCUGGAAGCGGCAUGGAAGAGCUGGGGUGGAGGCUGCAGAUUACUCUGCAUGUUUGCUCAUUUCCAGUUGUGCAGAGCCCUGCAAUAUCCACAGGUUUGUCUGCAGCCAGCUGAGGUGGCCCUUAGGAUCAUUUUGGUGGCCAGUAGUUAUGCCGUCCUGGUUUUCUGGAGCUUUCUGCCGCCUGGCAGAGCUUACCUAUGGCUUCAGCAAAGCUUUGUCACAGCUGGCCUUGGGUUAGAGAAAACCCUCCAGUCUGGAUUUGGAGACCAUCGAGGGCCGGCAUCUUGCAUGAAAGACAUGCUUCCACGAAGUCAGACCUUUUCUAAUGCAUGUGAAGAGCAGUGUAAAUGUGUGUGUAAAGCACAAGUGUGUUAGGAAACUUCCUGAACACCUGCACCAGCUGGGCAUACUUCUGCCAGAGGAGGAAAGAUGGGCAAACACAAGGGUACCAGGUGUUGGCCAAGCUACUGUCCAGGGCAUUCGCAGUGCUUGGAACUGGCAGGAUGAUUUGGUGACAGGACAUGUAUGGGACAGAAAUGGCUUCUUCCUGCUUAUUGUUCAGUAAUUUUUAAGACUAGACUUUUCAGGAACUAAACUUGCAAAACCUUUGUAAUGCCUAAGGAAACUUACAGUUUAAAAUUUUGCCAUAAGAGGGCAGUCUGAGAUAACCACAUAAGUAAGUUGACUUGCAAGGCCCUGAGUUUUUCUUAAAAAACGAAGACUGAUAGGAAGACUUGUCUUAAGCUGAAAUAAAAAAAAAAAAAAAAAAAAAAAAAAGGAAGACUGAUUUCAAGCUGAGGUCUUAUAUUAAACUUUAGAUAGGAUUUUUGUAACUGGUGAAAGAGAAUGAGUGUAAAAGGAAAGCAUUUGCAAUAAACAGCGAUUUCUGUUUUCCUGGAAGAGACACAAAAUGUUCUCUGAGUCCUGAACUCGGGACCCAGAGGGAUGAGAUUUCCUCUUUGCACAGCUGUAUUCUUCUUCUAGGAAAGCAGCUUCUGAAUUUUCCUUUCAAUGGAAAAAGGUCUAAUGUGGGAAGCACAUGAUCAUGGCGAAAGAGCAGAGUAACUGCAAGGCAGGGAUGGGGCACUGGCAUCUUCAGAGAAUCGUGUAUAAGGGGCUCUGAGGUCUUGCUGUUGAGGAGRCUGGGUCCUGCCAAAAGGGGACUGGCAGCCACCCUCCUAGCUCCUGCUGAGUUUCUCCCAGUGCACAUAAUCUCUAACRUUGAAAAUGCCAGCAUGGUACAGGACUUUGAAAGGUUGCCUGCUGUUAGUCUGAUUGCUGGGGUCUGCAAGACAAAAUCUCAUCCUCUUUAAGCCCCAAUUUAUCUUUCUGUGACUCUGGGCAAGGCAUUUGUGUCCCCUAAGCAUAAGCCACUGAUGAAUGGAUGCAGGAUACUUCCCACAGUGUCAUUCAGUGGCUGCCUCUUGCAGAGUGCCUUAAAAUGCUGCCAGCACUGCGCUUCCAUGUCAGAUAUAUAAUGCACUGACAUUCCAGCCCUUGGUUGCUCUUGUUGGUCACUCCCUGGCUCAAAAAGUAGAGGAAAAGGGGAUUAGAGCUGCAGUGGCUGCUGCCUCUCAAGGUACUGCUGAGGGACCCGUGGGGCAGUGCUAGAUAGGACAACCCCAAAGCUCUCUGCGAGCAUUUCAAGUCCAGAGCUGGGAGAGCUGGUAGGAUGCCACUUCUUCCUUCCUCUGCCUGGGCAUCAUGGUGGCUCAAAGCAAGUGCAAAACAUAUUUUAUUAAAACAUCCUUCUGCUGGGCUCUUUGUCCAAUAUGUUUUACACUUUAUUAGCUCAGACAAAUUAAUUGGUUUCAUGGUGCAGCUCAAGGGCAGUUGUUCAAUCAAUAAAAACACUAAAAGAGAGCAAAUGUUGUUUAUGCCCUAGUAUCACCCUGGAAGGCAAAACCAAUCAAUCUUCCCCCCCGCUUCCCGCAAGAAAAACCACGAAGGGAGGCAAACAUCAGAGAUGCCUGGUGACGGUGUGACACAUUGGAGCACAGAGGCAGGCAACAUUCAAACCACAGCAGCACUCAGGGGGGGAGAUUGAAUCCCUGGCCUCCAGAUAUGGUGUGAAUUGCACUCCAGUGUGCUUGGCAGAGCCCUGGUGUCCCUCUCUAGCAAGAAUGAGUAGACAUAAUUGUCUUCUGGUAAUGAACCCUUACUUCUUGUCUUGAGCUCCAUCUCUCCAGUAUAGAUCAACCUAGAACUAAUUUUGUCUGAAAUGAAGUACUGGUUUGUAUGGGAAUGGACAGAGCUAUGGAAAACUACAACUGCACUCGGCCAUAGCUUUUGGAUGCAAAAUUAACUCUGAUUUGAUUUCAGUAAUUCCAGUUAAAGGUUGUUUGCUGCGCAUUUUUCAAUGUUGUUUUUUUAAGAGUGGAGACCAAAAAUAUAUAAAAUAUUUGCGAGUCUCUCCUCAGGUCUGCUUUUACAGAUGCGUGCAAUGGCGUAAAUUGUUAAAACACCAAAUACUCAGAAAAAAACAGCCUAGGGAAAGAAUUGGAGGCUUCCCAAGGUGUUCCAAUCCCAACAAUCUGUAAAAAAACCGACACGGAUUUCAUGAAUGUGCUAUCAGAAUGGAUUUUUUUUGUCUGUCACGGAAGAAAAAGUAAGAAAGAAAGAAAGAAGGAAAGGAAAGAAAAAAAAUAAAAGAAAGAGGAAGUCCUUUUUUAAACUCAUGUUCACAACAUGUAAUACUUAAUAAAACUGCUCCUGGCAAAAUCUAAGGUAAAUCAAUACACACCCCAUCUGACUGUAAUUGCCAUGUAAAAUACAAUUAAGUGUUUAACUAGUAGUUAGAAAUAGAGAUGAUCUUGCUUUUUAUGAGUAGGAGACAGAUCUUUAAUUAAAGUGAACCUUUGCCAUUUCUGUCUACGUUUAGACUUUGAAACUGAGGGAACAGGGAAAUAGCUUCACAGUCCAAAGAGAGUUUGCAGUUUGCUAUAAAUGUACACAAAAGCUUCAUAGGACCAAAGUGAGCUCCUCAACUGUAUAUGGGCAGAUUCCUUAAAUCAGUGCAGUCAUGCUCACAGAAGUAAAAAAUGGACCUGUCAUCUCUGAGAAGCAGUUAGUCCACUGCUGUGCUCCCAUGGGAAAGGGAAAGGCAAUUUUCCCAACAGAAGGAAUUGCUCCGUAAUGUGAGAGGUCAUUGAAAUGCAAGUAACAAACCAAAACAGAUGAAAUAUGUGCAAAGUAAAUAGAUCAAAGACAUUGAGAUAAUUAAUUACCAGCGGUCUAGUUCUCAGAGAAAGACCAUUCAUUCACAAAGAAGCCACUGUACCCGACACUUCCCAAUAUUGGUGUCUACAGCACGCAUUUACUGAUGUUUGUUAAUGAGUGAAGACAGAAUUAUUAUGCCAGAUAACUGCCUGCCCUAAAAUCUAUGUUCUGUUACCAUAAUGCCUUGGCCUACAAAUAAACUCCACUAUAUUCACAACAUUUUAGUUYAAGAAAAAGUGCCAAGUCCAUUUUUGUGUUUGCUA